rnacentral:sRNA from 1 species
CUUGGCUCCUCUUCUCACUAUCAGCAGAGAGCUGUUACUGAACAGUGAAAGGGGAAGGCUUCUUUGUCGAUCCCAUCGUAACUCUGUCCUUUUGGUCCUCCUGCAGAUGCUCCAGUGGCUUUGACCGCUAUCGCCAGGAGUGGAUGGACUAUGGCUGUGCACAGGAGGCAGAGGGCAGGACGUGCAAGGACUUCCAGGAUGAGGACCACGACUCAGCCUCCCCUGACACUUCCUUCAGCCCCUAUGAUGGAGACCUCACCACUACCUCCUCCUCCCUCUUCAUCGACAGCCUCACCACAGAAGGCCUUCAGAACAACCUGUCCCCCAAGACAAAGGGCA